rnacentral:rRNA from 1 species
UUUAGUAUUUGGUCGUAGACCCGAAACCAGGUGAUCUACCCUUGGUCAGGUUGAAGUUCAGGUAACACUGAAUGGAGGACCGAACCGACUUACGUUGAAAAGUGAGCGGAUGAACUGAGGGUAGCGGAGAAAUUCCAAUCGAACCUGGAGAUAGCUGGUUCUCUCCGAAAUAGCUUUAGGGCUAGCCUCAAGUGAUGAUUAUUGGAGGUAGAGCACUGUUUGGAC